GAAUUUUUGGACUCUCUCUCUAAAUCCAUGUUCGUAAACAUAACAGAUGAUGAUGUUGAGGACUAAGGAGUACCAAGUCAGCAACCCUGGAAAGUCUGAAGCUAUCAGUUGAUUUUGUGGAUGCAUAGCUGGAAAGUGUCGAUGUUGUUCAGAUGUUAUGGAGACUGUGGAUCUUUUGAAUUACUAAUCUUUAUCUUUUGAAUUGUGUUUAAGAAUGUUAUGAAUUUGGAUUGUGUAUGGAAUGGGAAUGUAUGUAGCCUGUAGGUAGGUUUGAAAAUCUUUAAA